rnacentral:lncRNA from 1 species
UGAAGACUGAGAGAAACCUUCAUUAGGCAAGAGAAUGAGCUUUUCCGGUCACCUAUUACAAUGAAGAAAAAUUGACUGAGGACCUCAGAUGCUGGACUCUGAUGUUUGUCACCAAGUUUACACUGAGACCACACUUCCCGCAGGCCGCCUCCUCAGUGACUGAGGACAGAUGGGAAACCAAGCCAGCCUUGUCCCCAUGAGCUGAAGGUCUCCUCUGAGAGGCAACAUGGGUUUGGAGACACUUUCCUCUCAGUCACCCUCCAAUGCCUUGCAAAGUGGACUCAUAACACCUUUCUUGCACGUGCCAUUUUGUCUCCGUGUCUGCUUCUUGAAGGAUGGGUGUUCUGUGCACAUGUGGCCAGAGGAAAAGAAUCAGAAUUGGGGAGCAUCUGCUAAUCUUG